AUUGUGUAGAACCAGAGCUCUCGUUUCAAUUCAAUGAUGGCCAGUAUGAGUCAGCUGCUCAACUUCAUUCGAGGGCACAACAGAUCUGUGCUGUUCUCUAUCCUGGUGAUGCUACAGAAGAGGGAAAGCUUCUGAGAUUAAAGCAGCAGUUUUUCCUGUGCAGCGCAUCACUUCAGGAUAUUAUUUUCAGAUUUAAAGAAAGGAAACCUGACAGAGUUUCAGGGAAGUG